ACUCAUGUGACUCAAGCAAACCAUGAAAUAAGAAGGAGGAGCUUAUUUAACAUGUUUGAGCAACUGGUGUAAAAUCUGGGAGGAGCAGAACAAAAACCCUAGCUCCUGACCAAUCAUAACUUGGCGACUCCCAUGUUCAUGUUUAUAAAUCCUUCAAAAAAAUCAUUCUGCUUGUUGAUGAACAUCGCAAAUCUUUCUUUCCAACCGAAGAGAAAGAUGAAUUUCUUUAUCGUGCUUCUUGGGAUUUGGCUUCUUCCAAAGGCUGCGGCUCUGAAGUGUUAUGAAUGCUCAACAUCAGAUCCCAAGGGCUGCACUGGCCAAAAAGUAGAAUGUCCUUCAGAGAAUCAUCAGUGUGCUUCAGUGUUCGCCAAAGAUGGUUCAUCAGGUAAUAAAACACAAGGCAAGGGUUGUGUCCCGCCUGGAAUGUGUGGAGAGUUUUCUUCUAACUUUGGAGAGGCAAAUAAAUAUGGCAUUGUCAAGUGCUGCAACUCAGACCUCUGCAACACUGAACCUG